rnacentral:rRNA from 1 species
AGAGUUUGAUUCUGGCUCAGGAUGAACGCUGGCGGCGUGCUUAACACAUGCAAGUCGAACGAAGCAUUCUAACUCCUCGGAGGAGGAAAUGACUGAGUGGCGGACGGGUGAGUAACGCGUGGGAACCUGCCUUAUACAGGGGGAUAACAGUUAGAAAUGACUGCUAAUACCGCAUAACCCGCUAGUACCGCAUGGUACAGACGGAAAAGAUUUAUCGGUAUAAGAUGGACCCGCGUCUGAUUAGCUAGUUGGUGAGGUAAUGGCUCACCAAGGCGACGAUCAGUAGCCGGCUUGAGAGAGUGAACGGCCACAUUGGGACUGAGACACGGCCCAAACUCCUACGGGAGGCAGCAGUGGGGAAUAUUGCACAAUGGGGGAAACCCUGAUGCAGCAACGCCGCGUGAAGGAAGAAGUAUUUCGGUAUGUAAACUUCUAUCAGCAGGAAAGAAAAUGACGGUACCUGACUAAGAAGCCCCGGCUAACUACGUGCCAGCCGCAGC